GGGGGUCUGCCCGCUGAGUCCUUCCUCACUGCUGCGGGUUUGGUUGCCAAAUCCAGGUGUCCUGGAGGACAGUGAACUUCCAUUUAAAUAUGCUGCAAGAAGGAGAGAUGGCAUUUGAGUGUUCCCCCAAAGCUGCUGUGGAAGCAGCACAACCUGCUGGAGCAUUUCCCAGUGUAGGUCACCUGGCUCUGGGACAUCCGACCACUUGUUGCUUCCUCACCUUACACUGGCAGAAUACCUAACUGUACCUGCAUGAACCUCAUUUCUCCUUCACUUCAAAAAACACACGAGCCUUCUUCUGCUUGAUACUCUUUACUGCCACACAGAUGCUCAUCCAUAGGAAAUUCCCAUUUAUUUUCAUCUGUAAGGCCCCGUUACAUUGACAAACUGAUCCAUGUGGCAACAAGGCAUCCCAUUCCCGCAUCUUGGUAACAGACAAGUAGGAGGCCAACACCACUUCUAUGCAGGAAGCCUGCCCCUCAAAUCGCCCAUCUCACAACAUGGCUUCUUUGUCAGCAUUUCCAGCUGAACUGGAAGUCAAAUUAACGGUUACAGCAGACGGACACCUCUUCAAAGAGCUCUAGCACAGAUCAUCAGCACUGUCUGUCAACUUCUCUCUCUCCGAAUAAUUUUCUUGGCAGUAGCUGCCGCAUCGAAGUCAUGCAUACCUAUGAGAGUCUUACACAUUGUACUGAACAUUAUGCAGUGGUAUCACUGGCCGCGUGGUUUUGGCAGGGAUUGGAAAGCCAUCGAGCCCCUGCUUUUUCUCAGCCUGCCCUAUCGCAAGCAGAAUUUAUUGUUGCUGGGAAACUGCUGCCGGGACAUUCACUGGACAUUGUGUCUUCCUUAUCUUUUACUCUUCAAGACACUACAUAUUCCCCAUUCUUUAUCUAAUUCCCUCAUUACUAUUCCAUCCAUUGCUCGCACCUUCAUAGCUCCCCCAGUCACCUCCACGUGGUCUGGCUGCCUUAUUUCCUGCCACCGGCUUCAAAUUCCGCUUGAAUGCAUGUUCCUUUUACUGCAAGGAAGGAAAAUAAACCUGUGCAGAUGGAAACCUAGAUCUUCUGCUGUUCAGGAAAGCGGGCUCUACGCGAUUUCUGCUAGAGGAAUUACUCAGGCUUGGAGAAGACUGAUGAACAUGAUGUCAAGGACAGCUGUCAAAAUGAGAAAUGCCCACUGUAGCUUUCUCUACGCUUCAGUCAGUCGCAUUUGCUAUUACUUCUCUGUAUUAUAUGCACUGACAUGGUCCAAAAUGGAUACAGAGACUUAGCAAAGACCAAAGGCAAGUUUUUGCUGUUUCAGGAGAGAAACGUCUUGCUCAGCACACUCAAAGGGGGUCACUCCUCUAAGUGCCAUUCUUCUAGGGAAUAAAUGAACAAGUAAAGAAAAAUGUUGCUUUGAGCUGUAAUUCGCCCCCAAUCACUUUAAAGCUGAAAUUAAAAUGAAAAGAUUUCCAUAAUGCCAUUAACAAACUGCUUUAGUACAGGUAAAAUAACAAAGACCACUCCUUGGUAUCUCAGGACACAAUGGACUCAUUCAUUGCUAGCAACUUAGCAAGUGCUCAUGGUGACAGUUAUGGGGAAAAGGGAAACUGGAGAAAGGCAGGAGGCACAGCAUUUGAUAGGUUCAGAAAUCAGAAACAAUGCUCAAAGAUGUACAGCCCUUCUUUAGCAGAAGGCAUGCAAAAAGCACAGGGAUCUCAUUUGUUGGACGGCUGGUCAAGGCUUACUGUUCAGCAGAUGCAUACAGUAAGCAUGUUUCCUCUGCACUGAACAAUUGUCCUUCCUUACAGGCAUUUGCUUUUGAUGCUUAGCCGAAGUGGCUCGUUGGGAGAUCAGAGACAGAGAAACUCAGAUGGCUGGCUUGCUUCUUCUGUUUCCUUUGGCAAGAAGUUGGGUGCUAAUUUAAAACAAAAUGUUGGCUUUUUUAUGGGGUGUGUGGGCUGGCAGCCUUAUGCUUGCAAAGGCAUGCAAGGCUACAGGCCAUGUUUUUGGGGUUUUGUUUCAGUAAACCCAAAAGGUUCAUUUUUUCCAUUUUCACCAACCUAAAUGCUGUGUAGAAGUUAAUGACUGUGCCUCAGCUGCUGUUCAAGAUGAUGGCUGAAUUCCUAGGGCCAUCUUAUUUUAUGACUCCGAGUACCCAACAACACUUUUUUUUUUUUUUUUUUUUACAUCAGAAAACCACCCCUAGUGACAACAUCUAUUGCUGCAAACUCCUGUAGGGAAGCUACUGGAACGCUUCAAUCUGCCAGCUUUGACACUUACCAUGUAGUUAAUUCCUUCUGACUGCACCAUAUGCUUUGCCAUUAUUACAGUGGUGCCAGGGCUUUUCUUUCUCAUCUACUGAUUGCAAUGAUGUACGUUGUACAUGUCCUAAGAACCUGCAAGAGUCACUCCAUUUUGAGCUGUUCCUCUCUAUCUUGGCUGUUCCUGUUGUGAUGCUGGGUUUGACUGUGCAAACCAGCAGCAGCCUGACUCAAUUAGUAUCUUUGUGCCUAGGAAUAGCUAAUUAGUAGCUCUACCUGGAUUUAUCCACCUGGACAGGGAGCAAACUAAGGCAUGAAUUUACAGAGUGCUACUUCUCAGCAGUAAUUCUCUUCAUGGGAGCUCCUAGAGUGCCCCAUCAAAUGCAAGCUUGUUCACUUUCCAAGGGGAGUAAAUGCCCUGCACAUAACAAACACUUACAUAAAACAUUCUCCUUGCAUUCCCUACAAAGACAACAUCGAAAAGGUAAUUUAGGUAUAUGGGGGUCAGGGAGAAUCACUUUCUAAGUGAUAUUUGCUCAUUUUGCUCUCCAUUUGCUCUCCAUGAGAUGUUCCCUAAUUAAAGCAAUUAGUUAGCACCUGCAUUGGGUCCAGCUUACCUUUGCAGCCAUUAUGAAGAGCAGCCAGGGCAGCAGGAGCUCCUGCUCCAUCCAGCUGACAUGCAUGCAGCUUCCAGGCUGGGAUCCAUGCUCUGUGACGGAGAGAGCAGGGCAGCCACCAGCUCAACCCCAAACCAUGUGGACAAAGAACUGAUGAUGACAGGGAGGGUCCUGGCAAUUGCCAGCUCUGCUCAUUGUCUAAAUUCACUCAUUCUCUGCAGUUUUUUAGACUCUGCAGUAAGAGUGAGAGCUGGGAGGUGCCUUUUCAGCAGGCUCACCCACUGGAGAUGGAGGUGUAACCAGCUUAGACUUAGUCACUCCCUCCUGGACCUCGCCAAUGAAGGAUCCUUCUUGUUUUCUUGCAACUCCACAUGCCCACUGACCUGCUCUGCUCAGCCUCCCGAGGCCUGGCAUACAAGGCAAUGAGUAGCUUGAAUAAUUACAUUAGUUAGUGACAGAAUAGGGAACACAGAAGUCUUCCAAGUAACUUUCUGUAACGUCAAAUUAACUUAGCGUUGCAUUUAAACUUCUACUCUGUCAUGUACUUGGUAGAGUGUGAGUCCGGCAUUUUGUUGGAGCAUGUCAAUACCUUGAUGUCGCCCAUCUUCUGAGUCAGCUGUGCACAGUGUAGAAAACUGAAUAGAAAUAUUGUAUAGAAAUAUUGUAAGGAAUACUGUUCUUUGAAGCAGUGGAUGGCAUUUGAAAGCCAUUUAGUUCUUUAAAGAGCAGAAUUUUAUGAAGUAUUUCAAGGGAACUUUAGAGCUAUUAUUUCUUACUUUGCCAUUAAAACCUGGAGGUUUGAAAAUUAAUAGCUGUAAGACCUUUGAUGCAAAAAUCUCUGAAUAAAAUAAAUUCCGAAGGCUAUUUUCACACUGAGUUAUAUUAAAACUUCAACUCCCUUGUUAAUUCAAUGCACAUCUCAGAAAUUAUCUUAAA